AUUGAACGCUGGCGGCAGGCUUAACACAUGCAAGUCGAGCGGAGAGAGGUAGCUUGCUACUGAUCUUAGCGGCGGACGGGUGAGUAAUGCUUAGGAAUCUGCCUAUUAGUGGGGGACAACAUUUCGAAAGGAAUGCUAAUACCGCAUACGUCCUACGGGAGAAAGCAGGGGAUCUUCGGACCUUGCGCUAAUAGAUGAGCCUAAGUCGGAUUAGCUAGUUGGUGGGGUAAAGGCCUACCAAGGCGACGAUCUGUAGCGGGUCUGAGAGGAUGGUCCGCCACACUGGGACUGAGACACGGCACAGACUCCUACCGGAGGCAGCAGUGGGGAAUAUUGGACAAUGGGCGGAAGCCUGAUCCAGCCAUGCCGCGUGUGUGAAGUAGGCCUUAUGGUUGUAAAGCACUUUAAGCGAGGAGGAGGCUACUUUAGUUAAUACCUAGAGAUAGUGGACGUUACUCGCAGAAUAAGCACCGGCUAACUCUGUGCCAGCAGCCGCGGUAAUAC
rnacentral:rRNA from 1 species